CCUACGGAGGCAGCAGUGAGGAAUAUUGGUCAAUGGGCGCGAGCCUGAACCAGCCAAGUAGCGUGAAGGAUGACUGCCCUACGGGUUGUAAACUUCUUUUAUAAAGGAAUAAAGUGAGGCACGUGUGCCUUUUUGUAUGUACUUUAUGAAUAAGGAUAGGCUAACUCCGUGCCAGCAGCCGCGGUAAUACGGAGGAUCCGAGCGUUAUCCGGGUUUAUUUGGUUUAAAGGUAGCGUAGAUGGGUUGUUAAGUCAGUUGUGAAAGUUGUCGGCUCAACCGUAAAAUUGCAAUUGUUACUGGCAGCCUUGAGUACAGUUGAGGUAGGCGGAAUUCGUGGUGUAGCGGUGAAAUGCUUAGAUAUCACGAAGAACUCCGAUUGCGAAGGCAGCUUACUAAACUGCCACUGACAUUGAUGCUCGAAAGUGUGGGUAUCAAACAGGAUUAGAUACCCCUGUAGUC
rnacentral:rRNA from 1 species